UACGAAGGGGGCUAGCGUUGCUCGGAAUCACUGGGCGUAAAGGGUGCGUAGGCGGGUCUUUAAGUCAGGGGUGAAAUCCUGGAGCUCAACUCCAGAACUGCCUUUGAUACUGAAGAUCAUGAGUCCGGGAGAGGUGAGUGGAACUGCGAGUGUAGAGGUGAAAUUCGUAGAUAUUCGCAAGAACACCAGUGGCGAAGGCGGCUCACUGGCCCGGUACUGACGCUGAGGCACGAAAGCGUGGGGAGCAAACAGG
rnacentral:rRNA from 1 species